CCGCGUGAUUCUUCCAUGUUUAGUUAUGGAUCUCUCUGGAAGGAAGCACAACGUGACCUCUUAUCCUUCACCGACUUUUCCAUUAUCGAUUUACACUUUGCAGUAUUUAUCGACCUGACUAAUUGUCAUUAGAAGGCAGAAAACCAUCGGAUAAACGGGGAACCAUACGCUAGUGAGAACCUGCAGGUAACGAAAAUCUGACUUAACUGCCCCAACUAACAACAAUCGGCUCUGCACGACGAGCUUACACGAGUAACGAAACAUAAAAUCUCCGAACACCGUUAAGUGUAUGUAGUAAUUUAACACUUAUAUGCAAGGAACACAUCCAAGAAUACGUUGAAGUUUUGUCACAUCCAAAGGAAAUCACAAUAGGUGUCAAAUAGGACGACAUUUAUAAUAUUUUAUCUUUACAGGCGUUUAAAACUGUUUGGGAAAAAUAAAAAGAUUUAUAGCUGCUGAA